rnacentral:rRNA from 1 species
UGGCUCAGGACGAACGCUGGCGGCGUGCCUAAUACAUGCAAGUCGAACGGUCUUUCUAUGGAAGCUUGCUUCCACUGAGAAGAUAGUGGCAAACGGGUGGGUAACACGUGGGUAACCUGCCCAUAAGAGGGGGAUAACAUCCGGAAACGGGUGCUAAUACCGCAUAGUUUUCUUGAUCGCAUGAUCGGGAAAGGAAAGACGGCCUUUGUGCUGUCGCUUAUGGAUGGACCCGCGGCGUAUUAGUUAGUUGGUGAGGUAACGGCUCACCAAGACGAUGAUACGUAGCCGACCUGAGAGGGUGAUCGGCCACAUUGGGACUGAGACACGGCCCAAACUCCUACGGGAGGCAGCAGUAGGGAAUCUUCCGCAAUGGACGAAAGUCUGACGGAGCAACGCCGCGUGAGUGAAAGAAGGUUUUCGGAUCGUAAAACUCUGUUGUCAGAGAAGAACAAGUUGGAGAGUAACUGCUCCAGCCUUGACGGUAUCUGACCAGAAAGCCACGGCUAACUACGUGCCAGCCGCCGC